rnacentral:lncRNA from 1 species
UUCAAAUGACACAAGUGAGGCAGACGAUGAGAAACUUGACAAAAUGUCCAGUAUUCAAGGCGAGGAUAAUACCUCAAGAAAGAGCAGUACAGAGGCGGAGAAGUCAGAGCUGGCAAGACAGAUACUACUUAGCUUCAUUGUAAAGUCAGUCCAGCAUAAUAUGGAUGCUUCAAGUCAAUCUUCAGGCUACGAAAAGAAGAUUGGGUAUUCAGAAAAUUCUUCAGAUGCAAUUGCAAAUGAUAGUGCUAUCAUAAAGAUCCUAUAUGGAAAUGAAAAGGGCAAAACAAACUUGGCAUCUCAGUCCAAUGAUCAAGAACAGCAAAAACCGAAAGAUGAAAACCAAAAAAGUGGGGAUGGUGAAGGAUUUAUAGUUGUCAGAAAACGGAGAAGAAACCGACAGCAGAUCACCAAUGGGGUAACUGAGAUGUACAAUCAUCAAUCCAUCUGUGCUUCUGUUCGUUAAAAGAGAGAGCAAAGCAAUAAAAUGCAAAGGUGCCGUCCUGUUUCUCCCAAUUUUAUUCGAAAAAUUUGUUAGUGAAUGUUACCGUUGUAGAAAUAAGUUUGGAGCAAGUUUUAAUCAAUACUUGAUUGUAUCAUUUUAGAUAUCCUCUCUGGAUGUUCUAAUAUAAUAUUUGUACAAAUCGGUUUCUUGUUUUGUUAAGAGAUUUUGUUUUGAUCAAUAAAUGAUGAUAAAUUAAUUGGGCGAUUUUCCUCAUCAAGAGAUUUGUGAUGUUGUUCUAUAAUGGAUUUUAAUGUUUUAGACUGAGUUAAUUAUGCCUCAAAUUAUUUGGUAUUUCGUUGGUGCGUGUGAACAAUACGUUCGGAAUGGAGUUGAAUUGACCCACUGAUAGAUAGCUUACAUUUGCAGCGGAAGUUGCUGCACUGAUGAUAUUACAACUAACAUAGUAGUUGGCAAAAUUCCUUGUUCAAUUUAAAUUUGCAAUCAACAGAAACUGAAGAAGAAGCCGUAAGUCUAAUCCUAAUGGAUGCAUAGCUGUUUGGAGAAAAGCCAACGGAGACAUAACACAGCACGAUAAGUUAUACACGGCAGAACCGUAUGUGCUAGUAAGCACAGUCACCGAUGGAAAACAUAUUUGAAAAGCCAAUAUUAGCAUGUGUCAAUACAUCUAUCAAUGAAAUAGAACCACAGUCUGCGCCAGUACGAGUUUAUCCAAAGUGCUGCAAAUAAACCCAAAAUCACUGACACAUAGGAUGCUCCAAAACUCCAUCUUAAUGCCACCAUAUCAAUCACAGAAUCGCCUUCAUCUUCUCCUCCUCCUGUAGGUGUCGCUGGUGGUGCCAACGCACUGCUGCAUUUCCUCUUUAUCAUUGAGCCACAAAGAGCCGAAUUACCUAUAUAACUGCUGUCAUCAAACGUGCCAAACUGCUCUUUGUCUGGGAUUGGGCCGGACAAAUUGUUGUAUGACACGUUGAAGUUUGAUAAAAAGUUGAGCUCAGUUAGUUGAGGAGGAAUUCGGCCACUUAAUUUGUUGCGGGAAAGGUCCAGGCUCUCUAUCAUUUUCAGAUUGGAGAAGCUCUCUGGUAUAGCACCUGAUAGUAAAUUAUUCGACAGAUUAAGUGCACGAAUAUGUUGAAGAUGCCCAAUUUCCCAUGGAAUUUCUCCACUGAACUCAUUGCUCGACAAAUCCAGUCCAGCCAUGUCGUCGAGAUUGCGACCGAUGAAAAAUUCAUAUCUAUACUUUGUCACAAAUUCUACACCUAGUUGAUCUGCUCUAUCAUGUAGUUCACCUUGCGGCUGCGGAUCAAGCGUGGAAUUGUAGUAAGUAAAACUGAAAUCACGAUUUGACACAGCAUAUCCGGAUGCAUAUGAGUAAUCAUCAAUCGCUUCUCUCCAGAAUGACACGUUACCCAAGCAUGAAGGUAUCGGCCCAUUAAGUCUGUUAUGUGAAAGAUCCAUGAUACCUAAUUUUCUUAAUUGGCACAACUGAUUAGGAAUACGUCCUUGUAGAUAAUUCCCUCUCAAAAGAAGAACAUGCAAAUUCGAAAGCUCAUUGAUCUGAUGAGGAAUCCUACCAAAAAAAUUAUUGUCCCUCAAAUCGAGAGUCAAUAAUGUAGAGCUUCUAAGCAAUGCAAUUGGAAUUAACCCAUUAAUUGCAUUGUUAUGCAGAUAAAUGUGCUCCACUGAUGAAAGAUUGGAGAGAGAUACCAUGGACCCAGACAAACUAUUUUCGGAGAUGUCUAUAAACUCAAGUCUUUCAAGAUUGCCGAGCUGGACCGGAAUACUACCUUGCAAAUAAUUUUCUGACAUUAAAAGAACCCAAAGGGCUGAGAAGUUGCCAAUCCAGUGGGGAAUAUCGCCGGAUAACUUGUUGUUGGAUACAUUUAAUACCUCUAGCAAAUUGGAGCUCAACAAACCAUCUGUCAUCUUCCCACUGAAAUGAUUGUUGCCCAAAAGCAAGGAAUUCAAAUGAGUCAAGUUCAUAUAAUUGGGAAAAAGUUGGCCAUAGAAAUUGUUAUUUGAUAGGUCCAACGUAUCUAAGGAGAGGCAACCAGAGACUAUAGGUCGAGAUAAUUCUCCUGAAAAAUUAUUUCUAGACAAAUCCAAAGUAAUUAGCUCUUUCAUCUCACUGAUUGAAUAAGGAAUAUUACCUUCAAAAUUAUUUUUUGACAUAUCUAAAUAUAUCAAUUUCUGAAAGACAAUACCCAAAUUUUCUGGUAGCUUACCAGAGAAAUUGUUAGUGGAAAUAUCUAGAUGACGAAGCUUAUCGUAUUUGGCAUUGGGAAGUCGUGGAAGAAUUCCUGAGAAUGAGUUAUUCCACAAAAUCAUAACUUCUAAUCCUGUGUUAUUUUGCAACAACCAAGUUGGGAAAUUGCCAACCAACUGAUUGUGAGAGAGAUCAAGGAAUUUUAAGUGGUGUUGGUGUAAAAGAAAACUAUUAUUGACAUUUAAGUGGCAGUAACAUAAUUGGAGAACCUUGAGAGGAUAUGUGGGGAGCCAGUUUUCGGUUUUCACUUGCAACAUAUCGUUUCCUGACGAGAGUAGCAAGACCUCAAGCUUUGAAUGAUUAGCCAAUGAAUUUAUUGAGAAUGUUCCUUGGAAAUCGAUGAAAGAGAGAUCCAAAUAUUCAAGUGAUGUGAGGUUGGUCAAGGCAGAAGGAAAGUUUCCACUUAACUGAUUGUAAGAAAUAUCAAGAACUUUGAGAUGGGUCAAAUUGUUGAGACACUGAGGAAGAUGACCCUCAAAAUUAUUUGACCUUAAAUCCAACUCAAGAAGAUUCUUCAAAUUACAUAUUCCUGAAAGUGAAAAUAAAAAGCUCAGAUUUCAUAAAACGAAAACUAAUUAUAGCACAUUCAAUCAUAAACCCAAUAUAAGACUUAUAAAACGGACAUGAAAUCAAAUUGUCUAAGUAUUUUGGUCAACAUAAAUAAUAAUAGAAUGAUAUGAAUUUAUUUCUCAUAUAAUAUGAUGUUGAUUGCAAAAGUGUUUCAAUUAAUCUAACAAUAAAAAAGAAAAUAAUAAUAAUACAAAAGCAAUCAUCAAUUCUUGCUCAUCAUAAUCCAUUCAAAAAGCGUUUCAGCAAUUCUCGUUGUUUAAAAUAAUGAUUUUCUGCGGAAGAGUUUGUUGACUUCGUCUUUUUCGUUGGAUAUUGGUUUUCUAAUCUCUAAAUUUGUUGGAUAAUGUAAAGAGAAACUCAUAAUAUAUUGGUUGCUUUCUUAAACUUUAUUUAUUCUUCUCAUAGCAUUAAACAAAUGUAUUUGCCCAAGCGGGGGAAAAAAAAAAAAAACUGGUCUUCGUAUUUAAUUUCGUCGAAGUACUUCGACCAACAAGUUACUGGGAAGUAGGAAUUGUGUAAUCAGUAAUGCAAAUAUUGGGUGCGUUGGUAUUGUUUUUAUAUGCUGUUUUUUAUUUUUUGAAUUUAGAAAAUAUUAGAUACGUGUUCGGUAGAUUGUUUCUGAAAAUAUUUUUAAAAAUAUAAAAUUCAUUCUACACAUUUUAACAAAAGAAAUGAGAAACAACUUUUUCUUAUUUUCCUUAUUUCCCAAUACAAUAUUAAGUUCCAAAAUGAAGAAUUCUCUUUACCUCCUCCUGAAAUAAUAAUAAUAUCAACAUUAUUAUUAUUAUUAUUAUUAUUAUUAUUAUUAUUAUUAUUAUUAUUAUUAUUAUUAUUAUUAUUAUUAUUAUUAUUAUUAUUAUUAUUAUUAUUAUUCUUGUUGUUGUUGUUGUUGUUGUUAUUGUUGUUCUUGUACCCAAAGAAUCAAUUUCCCUCACAAUAAUCUUUUCUUUUUAUAUACAUUAUAAUAUUUAUGUUUUUAUAUUAACUAAAUCAAAUAUGUAGGGUUUAUCAUUUUUCUUUGAACAAAAAAAAUAGAAAGAUCACCUAAUUUAUUCUUAAAAUUAAAAUAAUCAAUAUACAUUGCUUAAUCUUAAGUUUAUGGAAAUUAUUCCAAUAAUAAUUCUUUGAGACAUUCUUACCAAACAUAUUUGUUUUCUCAUUUUUGAGAUUAUUUUUUAAAAUGAUACUGAACACAUUUUUAAAUUUUAAAAAUAAAUUUAAAAAUAGCAUUUUCAUUUUUUUUGUGAAAACAACAAUUAGAAAACAAUAUUGGGCUCUUAUUUAUCAUGUUUCAACAUAAAAACACAGUGUAAAUGGUUUAAUAUGGGUUUCUAGAGAAUUUUUUAUAUUACUAUUACUCAAAUUCAAUGCUUCCAAGCUUUUGAAUUUAGCUAAUCUUGCACCAAGAAUUAAUGAACAUAAGGAAAAAAAAAUUUAUUCAGAACUAUAAAUAUUGAAAUAAAGAUAAAUAUCAUUGUUGAUUUUUUUGUAAAAAAAGAUUUAGAAUUAAGAGAGAGUGAAAGAAAUGAGCGGGUUAUGUCGGAAAUUGGUGAUAGAGUAUGUCAAGUACUAAACUUUGUAUAGAAAGCAGUGCUUCUAAUUUAAAUUUGAUCUAGUUUAAAGCAAUUAAAAAAUGCAAAUAUAUUAUCAUCUUGAUUAACAUCUAAAACAAUUUUUGUCAUUGGAGGAAGUGAGUUGUUAUAUACCUUGAAUUGUAGUUAUCCCACAAGAAUGAAGAUCCAAUGCUUUCAAAUUUGGCAAAUCUGCCAAUCCUACAUGCGCUAAUAAAAAAUGAAAAUAUUACAUUUAAAGGUAUUGUAUGUGAUCUGCGCGUUUGAAGAAUAUUAAUUCUUAAUUUGCUUCUUAUCUCAGAUUCAGUGGCUUACCUAGCGUUGUCAAAUUUUGAUUUAAGCUUAAAUCCAACACUUGCAGGUUUGUCAAAUUUGCUAAUCCUAUUAAAAAAAAACAUAAAUUUUGUCAAUAAUAGUUACAUCACUCUCGUCUAAAUUGUUUAAUUAAAAUAAUAUGAUAAAUAUUAAAUGAAAAUUAACUGUGCAAAUUGUUUAAUUAAAAAAAUUGCCUUCUAAAGAACUGUGUAUAUAAUAAUUAUAACUCAAAUCCAACGUUUCCAAGCUUUUUAAUUUAGCUAAUCCUGCACCAAGAAAGAAGAAAACUUUUAUUAAUCAUCUUUGGAAAAAAAAAAGAAUUAAGAUUAAGAAACAAAUUUCAAAGUUAGAUUAAAUAAUUGUAGUAAUAAAGCUUAUGAUGAUUAAGAUCUAAUUAAAUUGAUCAUAUACUCAAAAAUGAUUUUAUUUUAUUUUAUUUUUUAAUUUUACUAAGAAAUUAGAAAGUAAAUUUUUGUCGUGUACCAAUUGUAGUCAAGUUUGUCAAGUUUUCCAGUCAAAAAUUGCUUUUAAUUUGACAUUAUACAUAUGUAAAAAUUAAGGCCAUAAUAAUAUCACAAGGAAUUUGGGUAGUGACUUGUUGCCGUGUACCUUGAAGUGUAGUUAUUCCACAACUACCAAGAUCCAAUUCUUUCAGGUUUGUCAAAGAUAAUCCUAUACCAACGAAAAGCAAACUAUUACUUUUAAAAUUAUUGUAGAAGGUUGUGAUUAGUGUGCUAACUUGGUAGUUAUCUCAGUAGCCUACCUAGCCUUGUUAAAGAGCCACUAGUUAUAUUGCGGUUCCCGCUUAGAUCCAACACUUGCAAGUAUCUCAAAUUUGCUAAUCCUGCUCAGAAAACAUUAAUUUUGAUCAAGACAAUAUAAAUAUAUAUUUUAAUUAAGAAAUUAAUUAAGUUGCCUGACAUGUAUAUCUGCUGGCCUGAAACGUAUAUGUAUACCUUGCUUGGUUCUGGAACCUUCAAUCUUAUUGUAACGAAGAUUCAGAGUGGUAAGUGAAGUUAGUGUAUUCAAAUAUGGUAAUAUGCUGUCGUUGAAGUAAUUAAAACCAAGAUUUAAGGUCUUUAGCUGCUUCAAACUCCCAAAGCUAUCGUAAGCUGCAAAUGCAUAUGAAGUGUUAUUAUUAAUUAGUCACUGACAAAAUAUUUAUGGACGAGAAAUAAAUGUAUACAUAUAUACGGACCUCUAUUCUCACAGAAGCCUGUAAACCCAUUCCCAGGUAAGUCGAGCCUUUGCAAUUCUUUGAAAGGAUGAAACAAUGACAUAUUCAGAAGCGAAGCCGAAGUUCCAUCAUAAUAAUUCAAUCUCUUUGUAUAAUUGAGUGAGAGUUGCAUCACGCGUCGUGUGGUGGCGUUGCACAUAACUCCCUCCCAAUCAUCACAGCAAUCAGACGGCAUUCCAUCAUCCUCACCAACCCAUGAAGGAAGAAUUUUGUCAUCAUAUCCAAUAUCACUGACUAAUGAUAUGAAGAAGCUCUUGAUUUCCAACAGAGCAGUCCUCUCUGUUUCCAAGCAUCCUUUGUAUCCAUGAAUUUCAUUCAUCAAUACAAUAAUCCAAAUUAGUGACAUUAAUGAGAACUUAAUACAGGAAGUACUUUCCAUUGUAGAGCAACUUUUCAUUUGGUUAAAAUUAAAUGUGCAAUGAGCAACUUUCCAUUGCAAAGCAAUUUAUACUAAAAGUUUAUCGUAGGUCUUGCAAUUUGAUUGGCUGAAGACUUUUUUAAGACUUUCCAAUACAUUGCCAUCUUUGAAGACUUGUAAGCACUUCAUUAAUACCCCGUGGAAAAUAUAGAUAAAGUGAUUGUAAACUAUAAAUUUUUGUAAUAGUUUGAUGGAGAUAAUCAUAACUAAUAAAAAAAAAGUUGACUGAGAGAAUUUAAAUAAUUUAACCAUAUGUUUGGAUUUCCAUUGCAUUAUCAGUCAAUCUAUUAAAUAAUGUGUUUUGAGAAGAAUUUGAUUGGAUGUUUGUUAAGUUUAAAUUAAUUUAUUAGAAAAUCAAUAAUUAAUCAACGUAAAUUUUCAUAUAUGUUUAGUUAGUGUGGCGUUGUCUGAAAUGACAAAAAACAUAAAUGUUAUUUGAAGCACUUUUAAUUCGACCAAAGCUACUAAAAUCAAAGAUAUUGGGAAUCCUUAAUAAGGAAAGUUUCCAUUGCUCUCAGUCUGCACUCUUCAUUACUAUUGCAAUCACUUGAAAUGACUAAAACAGAAAUUUCGUAUGAACUUGGGACAGCUGCACGGGUCCAAUUUAAAUGACAACUACGUGGAAAAUAAAAAUUUUGCAUAUAUUAUUACAACUACGUGGAAAAUUAAAGUUGACUGACUUUCAAAUCAAGCCAACAAACAAGUGGCCAUCAACUCUUUUUCCACUAACAAUUAGUGGCGACGGUCAAUACUAUAGAAUAAAAGUUGACUAAGAAUUUAUGUAAUUUAAGAGUAUGAUUGGCCUUUUAUUGAAUAUUAUGAUUGGGUUUGCACUGAAUUAUCAAAAAAUCUAUUCAACGAUUUAUAUUCUAAAAUAUUUAGUGAGUUUAGAAAAUUAUUUUAUUAGAUUUUUGUUAAUUAUUAUUAUUAUUAUUAGAUGGCCAACAAUUAAUCAAGUAAUUUUCCAUAUAUAUUUGAUAAUUUACUCAUAAAAGCGUGGACUACAUUCAAAUGGCAUUUUAUAUGAUGUAUGAUAUAUGUAGAGGUGAAAUUUAAAUAGGCUUAAUUUUAUAAAUAAAUACAUAUGUAUUGCAGCAUUCAAUCAUUGUGUUAAAGCGCCAAUCACGGUGACCACCAAAACCUAUGAAUGAUUAGUCCAUUGAAACCCAAUGUAUGCUCAAUUAAUAUUUCCUAUCAAGAUCAAAUUUUUCGCUCUAUUGCUUCAACAAUCAUGAGCAUAAAAGCUCGAUUUAUACAAAAAUUACGAAUUUAUGAAAAAAAAAGUCACAUUUAUUAUAAUAUGAAGUUUGAUUGAUUUUUAAAUAUUGAUUCAAUCAAUCUUAAUGUUACUGGACAAUCGAUCUUAAUGUUAAUUCAAAAUCAAUCUUUAUUUCGAUGGGCACAGAUAAAGAUAAUUAGUUUUGGUCUCUAUAAUGACUGACGAAGACUUGUAGGACCUGGACCAAUGAGGAAAAACACUUUCAAAUUAAGCCAACAUGCAAAUGGUCGUCAAUUCUAUUUUUUACAAAAAUUGAUGGAGAUAGUCAACUAAUAAAAUAAAAGUUGAUUGAGAUAAUUUAAAGAAUUUAGGCAUAAGUUUGGCUUUUAAAUUAUCAAAUAAUUUAUUCCACUAUUGAUACUUAAAAAAGUGCUUUGGAAUUAAUAAUUCAAUAGGAUGUUUGAUAUAUUGGAAUUCGUGAAAAUCAAUAAUCAACUAUUUUUUAUACAUGUUUAGAAAUUUAUCCGGUGUGUAUAGGGGCUUGUAUAUUUCACAAUAAACAUGAAUUAGUACAUCCAUCGAUUGACGUAUAAUUAUAAUCAUAUAAUCAAACACGCACACUACAAGGCGACCUUCGAUUGACGUAUUCUGUCAACUAACCCGUGGGAGAUGGAGGAUGUCUUAACGUUAUAAAAAAAAUUGAUGAAUAAUAUAAUUCCAGGCAGUGCUAAAACCAUAAUGUACGCCAGUAUGAGUUUAUCCAAAGUCACCGGCUACACCAAUAUCAUUGUGACAUAGUAACAUUCUUGUCCCAUUGAGUGAGAGUUGCAUCACCCGGCGUGUGGUGGCGUUGCACUCAACUCCCUCCCAAUCAUCACAACAAUCAGACGACAUUCCAUCAUCAACCCAUGAAGUAAGAAUAGAGCCUUCAUAUUCCCUAUCACUGAUUGAUAUAAAGAAGCUCUUGAGUUCCAACAGAGCAGUCCUCUCUGUUUGCAAGCAUGCUUUGUAUCCAUGCAUUUCAUUCAUCAAAACAAUAAUCCAAAUUAGUGAAAUUAAUGAGAACUUGACAAAGGAAGUACUUUCCAUUGCAAAGCAACUUUUCAAUUGGUUAAUAUAAAAUUUGCAACGAGGAAACUUCGAUAUUUAUACUAAACAUUUAUCAUCAUGGACCUUGCAAUUUGAUUGGCUGAAGAUUUCCAACCACCCAACCUAACGAAAAUGAAACAUCUUAGAGAUAUCAAGUAAUAAAAAUAUUUGAUUAUCUUAUUUUUGUUUUAGAGGGUUAUUAAAGACAAAACAUUGUCAAUACAUUAUAACAUCGCUAUCUUGAAGUCUUCGUCUUUAGUGAAGACUUGUAAGCUUGAAAUUACAUAUAUAUUGCAACAUCGACCCAGGAGAAAAAGAACUUCACUAAUACUCCGUGAAAAAUAAAAUUAAAGUUGACUGACUCUCGAAUUAAGCCAACAAACAAGCGAGUGCAAACUAUAUUUUCUCCAACAGUUUGAUGGAGAUAGUCGUAACUAAUAAAAUAAAAGUUGUGUGAAAGAGUUUAAAUAAUUUAUCCGUAUAUUUGGGUUUACAUUGGAUGAUCAGUUAAUCUAUUAAAUAAUAUGUUUUGUAAAGAAUUUGAUUGGAUGUUUGAUAAGUUUAAUUUCGUAGUUUAAUUACUCAUAAAAGUGUGAUGCACUCUAAAAUGACAAACACAUAAAUGUUAUUUGAAGCUUUUGUGACCCUUCAUGUUCAUGCAUUUGAAUCAAAGCUAUUAAAAUCAAAUAUAUUGAUAAACCUUAAUAAGGAAAUUAAGUUUCGAUUGCUCUCAAUCUGUAACUCUACUACUAUUACAAUCACUUGAAAUGACAAAAACAGAAAUUUCAUAUGAACUUGGGACAGAUGUACACGGGUUCAAUUUAGCUAAUUUCCCAUAUACUUACAACUACGUACGGGGAAAAUUAAAGCUGAUUGAUUUUCAAAUUAAGCAACAAACAAGCGGCUGUCCUACUAUUUUUCCUCUACCAAUUGACGGAGACCGCCGAUGCUAUAAAACAAAAAUUGAUUAAGAAUUCAGAUAAGGAAAAUUAUCAACUGUCCGUCCUAAGUUUAUCAUUUAUUAAUUUUUCGCCUUAAGUUUACAAUUCGUAUUAGUCAUCUACUAAAAAGAUAGAAUUACACUUAUGAAAUGACAAUACAGAAACAAAUACAAAUGGCAAUAGUGGUAAUUUUGUAUGAAUUUUUCUGUUCUUUUGGUGGUUGGUUGAUACAAAUUAAAAACAUAAGAAGAAAAAUAAAUAAAUUCAAACUUUUAGUAUUUCUGAUAGCAGGUUAAACCAAAGGAGGGCUUUACAAUUUCCCUUUAAAUAAUUUAAGGGUGUGAUUGCGUUUCUAUUGAACUAUAUGCUUGGAUUUGCAUUGAAUUAUCAAAAAAUCUAUGCAAGCAUCGAAUUGUAAUGACUGACGAAGACUUAUAAGGCUUGGACCAAUGAAGAAAAAUGCUUCAUUAAUGCUCCGUGGAAAACAAGCCAGUUUGGAAGAAGUUGAUCGGAUAGUCAACAGUUGAUUGAGAUAGUCAACUAAUAAAAUAAAAGUUAGUUGAGAUAUAAUUUUAAUAAUUUAAGCGUCGUUUGGGUUUGAAAUAAUCAAAUAAUUUAUUGAGAAGAGUUGAAUUCCGUUAUUUUAUUGAGAAGAGAUCCAUCACUCCCUCCCAAUUAUCACAGCAAUCAGAUGACAUUCCUUUAUCAUCGUCAAACCAUGAACUAAGAGCUUCGUCAUCGUAUCCAAUAUCACUGGCUGAUAUGAAGAAGCUUUUGAUUUCUAACAGAGCAGUCCUCUCAGUUUCCAAGCAAGCUUUGCAUCCAUGCAUUUCAUCCAAAACGACAAUCCCAUUGCAAAACAGCUUUUUAUUUGGCUAAAGUUAAAUGUGAAUUAAAUAUCUUUGACUGGUGAUAUACAUAUAUUCAGAGAUUUGAAGUGCUCAAACCAAAAAAAAAAUAAAAAUAUAAAAAUAUUAUUAUAAAAAAAUUGAUGAAUAAUAUAGUUCCAGGAAGUGCUAAUAUGGCUCUUUGAACUCUCUUUACAAGUAUAGUACAGUAUUGGUAGAAAUUUAUCCGGUGUGUACAAGGGCUUGUAUAUUUUGCAAUAAAAUAUACAAGCCAAUAUGAUUUUCUUUCUUUCUUUCUUUCUUUUUUUUUUAGAAACAUGAAUUGGUUCGUCCAUCAAUUAAUAAUAAAACCAUAAUGUACGCCGGUAUGAGUUUAUCUAAAAUCACCGGCUACACCAAUAUCAUUGUGACAUAGGAAGCGAUGAGGAAAUUUACGAAAUAUUUAUUAAACCAUAGUCUACACCAGUAAGAUGGAAUUAGCAUUCAAUGAUCAUAGACUUUCUGCAAUUUCAUUGACUUGUGAUCAGGGAGUCCUUAUUCUACAAUAAUUAUAAUCAAACAUGCACACUGCAAGGCAACCUUCAAUUGACGUAUUCUGUCAACUAACUGGGGACAGGGGUCAUAAAAGGGUACGGGAGAGAAAGCAUGAGUCUAUGCACAGUUCCGGUUUUGCUAGUUGAUGGAACAUGGAGGUUGUGUGUUAAUGUUAACCAAUAGUCAAGUUUAUGAACACAACCAAGCAAUCGUAUCAUCAAUCAGAGCCACAUUCGAUGCACGACUAGUAAAUAUCAUAAUUGAGUUUGAGGACCACAGCCGCACAAUGAAAGAAUUUGAAUGAAGGAAAAGUAAAGCAAAAUGAAAAGGAAAAGAGGGGAAUGCUAAAGAAAAAUAAGCUAAUUCAUCAGUAACUCCAUAUGACAAUUGCACCCAAAUUUUGGAUGUUUUUAGCCUCACGAAAUUUCAACAUUAAUGAUAAAUUACAGAUAUGUGAAGGAAAACUUAGAAACCAACUUGUGUUCAUAGAGAAAAUGCUCAAAAAAUAAAUUAAAGGAGUGCAAGGCUCAAUAUAAUUCUUUAGCGUGUGAAUCAAAAUAAUUAACAGAGACUGUCCCGCGUGUCACAUGUAACUAAUUUUGGCGCCAUCUUGAGCUACUUCUGUUAAGGCCUUCACUCCAUAGUCUUAAGAACACAAUGCACAAUAAAUUCUUCAGAUUCAUAUGGCAAAUGAAUUGCACAACAAGGCAUAAUUACUCAUAAAAGAAAGAUACAGUAAACCAUGGCCUGGUACUGUCGUUUUGUGCGUUCUAGUGGUAUUGUAGUUUAAACGAUACUCGUUUUUCUAUCUUGGUGGUUUCUUGAUUGUGUUCAAAUAUCAAUAAUCGAAGCAAAUAAGUUGUAGUGGUAUUGCACGCAACUUUUGGAUUGUGUUGGCGCCAUCUUGUGCUAAUUCUGUUAAGGCCUUCACUCUAUGGUCUUAAGAACACAAUGCACGAUAAAUUCUUCAGAUUCAUAUGGCAAAUGAAUUACUCAUAAAAGAAAGAUAAAGUAAACUAUGGCCUGGUACUGUCGUUUUGUGCGUUCUAGUGGUGUUGUAGUAUAAACAGUACUCGUUUUUCUAUCUUGGUGGUUUCUUGAUUGUGUUCAAAUAUCAAUACUCAGAGACAGAUAGAGGAAAGCUAAAGAAAAAUAAGCUAAUUCAUCAUUAACAUAAUAUGACAAUUGCACGCAAAUUUUGGAUGUUUUUAGUCACUGAAAUUUUUAACAUUAAUGAUGAAUUACAAGUAUGUGAAUGAAAACUUAUAAACAAAUUUUGUUUACGGGAAAAAUGUAACUGUGAAAGAAAGUAAAAGAGAGUAGAGAGACUAAAAACAGAGGAUUUCAUUCGUCAUUUCAUAACUAUAUUCCUACUCAGGCCUUUACUCUGGACUUAAGACCGCAUGUCCGAAAAAUUCGUCAGAUUCAUGUAGCAAAUGAAUUGCACAAGGAGGCAUAAAAAUUAGUAUAUUUUUCAAGGACCCAGCUUGAAAGCAAUGAACUAAAAAUUAAUACAUAAAAGUUCAAUUACACGUAAAGAAGGAUAACAGUAAACUAUGGCCUAGCAAGAUGACGGAUGAAAGAAAACCAUGGCCAGCGCCAAUACGAAUUCAACCAAAGGAUUCAUCUUAAUUGCAGAUUCAUCUUCGUCUUCUCCUCGAUUGGAUGUUAUUGCUGGAUUUUCCUAUGUUCUGUUGCAAGUCUUAUUAAUUGUUGGACCACAAAGACCGAGAUUAUAACUCUUUUCAUCAAACCUGCCAAAUUGUUUUUUGUCUGGGAUCAGACCGGACAAGUCCUUAUAUGACUCGUUAAAGUUGGAUAAGUAGUUGAUUAUUGAUCAGAAGAUCACUAAUCAGAAAAUUUUUCAUUUAUGUUUGUGUAAAUUAUUCAUAAAAGUAUGGUCUACUCUGAAAUUACAAAAAUAAACAUAAUAAAUUUGAAUAAAGGAAAGGAAAAUGAGAAGCAAAACAGAGGAAUGCUAAGGAUAAAUAAGCUGAUUCAUCAGUAACUCAAUAUGGCGAUUGCACACAACUUUUGGAUGUUUUUAGCCUCUGAAAUUUCAAUAUGAAUGAUACAUUACAAAUAUGUGAAGCAAAACUUAGAAACCAAUUUUUGCUUACAGAGAAAAUGUUAAAAAACAAAUAAUGAUAAAAGAGUGCAGAGAAACUAAAAACAGAGGAUUUCACGGAUCAUAAUUUAUAAGUGAUAUUCCUAGUGCAAGGCUGAACAUAAAUCUUAGGUGUGCGAAUCAAGAUCAUUAACGAAGAGAUCACGCGUGUCCCAUGUAACUAACUUUGGCGUGAUGUUGGAUGGUUGCAUAGAAUGAGUAGGGUAUCUUUCAAAGGUCAUAAUUUGGACUACAAGUGUAACUAACAACGACGAUGCUCAAGUUUGGUUAUCGUCGAUCACUGCGGAUUGAUGUUCGUAGCUCCUCCUAUAUCAAGGAAAUGUCAUAAUUACUUUCCAAACAUAAGAAAUACAACUAUUUUAUGUGAUAUGAUUCACAAUGAAUAUUUAUCCCAUAGCUUAUAACUCUCGAAUCCAUUAUUUGUAAAUAAAAAUUACCCUAAUACUCUCAAAACCAUCAAUUGCACCUUAUGCUCAAAAUUUCAUAUUCCAGCUCAAUAAUUAAAUUUCCAUAUCCUAUAAUACUAAUAAAUCAGCCACAUUAUCACCAAUCUCAUUAUUAGCCAUGAACUACCCAAACAUAAUAUAUAACAAUAAGCUAUUUACAUACCGAAUUGAGGAAAUAGUGAGCGCUACACAUUUUGGCUCUAAUGCCUUGGUGCCCUUGUGCACCUAAAAUGAUCCACCAAUUACUAAAAUUAGCUUGGGACUUACUACACCCAUUUGUUGGGAACCCUAACUAUAAAUAAAGUAUACAAAUCUUUAAAUUAAUUUCAUUUUCAUGUAAAUGCAAUUUCAGGUAAAGAUAAAAUGAUAGAAAUCUUACUCCAUUUGGUAAGAAAUUCAACUUGAAAGCUUGAAUCACUUCCCUCUCACUCAAAUCCUUUCUCUACACUUCCUACAUUUAAAUUCCUCUCCAAUGAAUUUCCAAAUGAACUUAGGGAUAAAAAUACUCUAGAAUGACUCUCGAAUCCAAUUUGUGAAAGACCAAACUCAAUUUUGGAAAAAUCCUAAAUCAUGAAAAUUUUCCCAUUGUCUUCCUCUCAUGCCCGUGAGCUUUUGCAAAGCAAUGGUAAGUGCUUUUUUUUUAUUCGCUUUACAUAUAAAGCUUAUUUUAUAUUUUUGUUUAUGGGCUUUUGAAAUAUUAUUUUAGGCCCAAUUAAAGAAAAUUAAUUUACCCAAAUAAAGAAUAUUAUUUUAUAUACAUUCGUAUUCAUAAGUUAUUAUUAAUAACUUGUAUAUAGAAGUCAGGGCAGUACACAAAUUUACUGAGUAAAGUUGUACUUUAAUUGGUGAACUCUGAAGGCACCAAUUAUAACAUCCAUUUCUAGCAUAUAUAUAUAUAUAUAUCAUGGAAAUCUGACAUGCUUAUACAGAUCACAUACAGGAUUCAAAAUUUAGAAGAUUCUAAAUUAUUUAAGGCCAGAGAUUGGGCCAGCUUGUUUAGUUAGUAGGCAAUGAUGGAAGGUUGCUUGGUAAAGCUGCUAGAUCUUUAGAAAUUCAGAGAUGACGGGCAGCAAAGAGUGAUAAUUUUUGUUUUCCCCAAUCACCUUGAACAGAGUGAGAAGAAACCAUUAUUUCGAUAUGUGCAGUUCUUCCAUCAUAUUGUUAUUUAAUGGUUGUUGUUAUUAAUUCUAGAAAAACAUUUUUCGAUUUGGCAAAUGGAGUUUUUCAUCUUCAAAAGAAGAGUCCCAGGUUCCAAACGUUACUGCCAUGGCUUCCAAGUCGCUGUUCUACAAAGAAAUAUCGGUGGCACCGCGAGAUCCCGUUGAUAUUACAAUCAACAUAGUAUUUGGGAAAAUUGCUCCUUCGGAUUGUAGCAUUUCGAGUCUCAGGUUCUUUCAAUCAACACAAGCACGUUCGAGAUACAACAGGAAGUUGUUAAAUUUAUAUUUGCAACCAACAGAAACUGCAGAAGAAACAAUAAGUCUAAUUUUAACGAAACCACUCGAAGGAACUUCGAAACUUGAGCAUAGUUUUAGAACCAAAUUAAGAAUUUUAGCAAAACACAUACAUUGAUACAUUCAUCAAUGAAAUAGAACCACCCUCUACGCCAAUAGGAGUUUAUCAAGCAAACCAUAGUCAUACAAAUAAUAAUUAGUUCAUUCUCUCCAGAAUGGCACGUUACCCAAGCAUGAAGGUAUUGACCCACUAAACAUGUUAUUUGAAAGAUCCAUGAUACGUAAUUUUGCUAACUGGCAAAAUUCAUUAGGAAUAUGUCCUUGUAGAGAAUUCCCUUUUAAAAGAAGAACAUGCAAAUUCGAAAGCUCAUUGAUCUGAUAGGGAAUCCUACCAAAGAAUUUAUUAUCCCUCAAAUCUAGAGUGAUUAAUUUAGAGCUUCUAAACAAUGCAUUAGGAAUUUACCCAGAAAUAGCAUUCUUCUGCAAAUAAAGGUGUUUCACUGAUGAAAGAUUGAAGGAAGAUACCAUGGACCCAGACAAACUAUUUUCAAAGAUGUCUAUAAGCUCAAGACUUUUAAGGUGGUUGAGUUGGACUGGAAUAUUAGCUUCCAAAUAAUUUUUUGACAUUAAAAGAACCCUAAGAGUUGAGAUGUUACCAAUCCAAUUAGGAAUAUUACCGGAUAACAUGUUGUCGGAUAUAUCUAACCCCUCUAAUGAAGUGGAGCUCCUCAAACCAUCAUCCAUCUUCCCACUGAAAUGAUUGUUGUCAAAAAUAAAUAAUUCAAAUGGGUCAAGUUCAUAUAUUUGGGAAAAAUUCGGCCAUAGAAAUUGGUAUUUGGUAGGUCUAACAAAUCUAGAGCGACGCAACCAGAGACUAUCGGUCAGGGUAAUUCUCCCAAAAAAUUAUUUCUAGAAAAAUCCAGCAUAUAUAACUCUUUCAUCUCACCUGUUGAAUAAGGAAUAUCACCUUCAAAAAUGUUUUUUGACAUAUCCAAAUAAAUCAAUUUCUGAAGGACAAUACCCAUAUUCCGUGAUAGCUUACCAGCGAAAUUGUUAUUGGAAAUAUCUAGAUGACGAAGCAUAUCGUGUUUGGCAUUGGGAUGUAGAUGAAGAAUUCCUGAGAGUGAGUUGUUCGCCAAAGACAAAUAGUUUUAUCUUGUGUUGUUUUGGAACAACCAAAUUGGGAAAUUGCCAACCAACUUAUUAUGAGAGAAGUCAAGGAAUUUUAAGUGGUCCUGUUGUAAAAGAAAACUUGGAAUGACAUGUAACUGGCAGUCGGAUAAUUUGAGAACCUUCAAUUGAGAUGUCGGGUGCCAGCUUUCGGUUUUCACUUGUAACAUAUUGCUUCCUGAUGAGAGUAACAAGACCUCGAGCUUUGAAUGAUUAGCCAAUGAAUUUAUUGAGAAUGUUCCUUGGAAAUUAAUGGAAGAGAGAUCCAAAUAUUCAAGUGAUGUGAAGUUGGUCAAGGUAGAAGGAAAGUUUCCACUUAAUUGAUUAUUAAAAAUAUCAAGAACUUUGAGAUGGGUCAAGUGAUUGAGACACUGAGGAAGGUGACCCUCAAAGUUAUUUGAGCUCAGAUCCUACUCAAAAAGAUUCCUCAAAUUACAUAUUUCUGAACCUGAAAAUAAAAGAUCAAAAUUUUAUAGAAUGGAAACUAAUCAUAGCGAAUUCGGUCAUAAUCCAAUACAAGACUUAAAAAACAGACAAAAAUCAAAUUGUCUAAUUAUUUUGGUCAGCACAAAUAAUAAUAGAGUAAUGUGAACUUAUUUCUCAUAUAAUAUGAUGUUGAUUGCAAAUGCGUUUCAAUAAUCUGAAAAAAGGGAAAAAAAAAUGCCCUCAGCACUUUUUGCUCAUCAUAACCCUAAGUCCUUCUUGUUUAUAAUUAUAAUUUUCUGAGGAAGAAUUUGUUCACUUGAUGUUGUUCAUUGGACAAUGGUUCUGUAACCUCUAUAAUGUAAAGAGAAACUCAUAAUAUUUUAGUUGUCUUCUUAAAUAAUAAAUUGUCUUAAAAUACAAUUAAUUUGUCUUAAAUUUAAUUUAUUCCUCAGCAUUCAAGGAAAAACAAAAACAAAAAAAAAAGAAAAAGAAAAAAGAAAUGGUCUUCAUAUAUAAUUCUGUCCAAGUACUUUGAUACACAAAUCAAUCGGAAGGUGGUGUAUCAGUAAUGCAAAUAUUUAAUUAUCAUGUUUCAACAUAACAAUUCUGUGUAAAUUGUUCGCUUUAGGUUUCUAGAGAACUGUUUAUAUUAUUAUUACUACUCAAAUUCAAUGCUUCCAAGUAUUUGAAUUUAAUUAGCUAAUCCUGUAUCAAGAAUUAAUGAACAUAAGAUAAAUGUCAUAUUAAUUAGAUUUAGAUUUUUUUUUUCCAGUUUUGACGUAUAGAUAUAAAUAAUACUUCAAAAGCAUUGAAAUGUAAGAGCUAUUAAAAAAUCGUUUUUCAUUCAAAGCUAUAAUUAAUGAAAUGAAGAUAGAUAUCAUUGUUCAUUUAAAAAAAAUUAAAUUCAGAAAAAAGAAAGAGCGAAAGAAAUGAGCAGGUGAUGUUAAUAAAUAGUGAGAGAGUAUGUCGAGGACUAAAAUUUAUUAAAGAAAGCAGUGGUUCUAAUUCAAAUUUGAUCAAGUUAGAAUUAGUCAAUUAUGCAUCGAGAAUCAAAAGAAUGAAGAAUGGGAAUUCAAAAUUAGACUUAAAAAUUAUAAUAAAGUGAUUAGUUAAGAUUCAAUUAAGCUGAUUUACUAAAAAAUAUUGAAAAAUAAAAGACCACAAUAUUGCCAAAAAGACUAGGAAAUUAAGUAGGAAGGGGUGAUUGUUGCGGAAUACCUUGUAGUUAUUCCACAACCACGAAGACCAAUUGCUUUCAAGUAUUGCAAAUAUGCCAAUCCUACAUCAAUAAAAAGCAAAAUGUUACUUUAAAAUUAUUGUAGAAGACUGUGAUCAUUGCGAUAGAUCGGUAAUUUCAGUAGCUUACCUAGGCUUCUUAAAGAGCCGCUUGUUAGAUUGAGGUUCCAGGUUAGAUCCAACACUUGCAAGUUUCUCAAAUCUGCUAAUCCUGCUCAGUAAACAUUAAUUUUGAUAAAAACAAUAUUCAUAAAUAUUUUAAGAGAUUAACUUGCCUGGCAUGCAUUUCUGCUGGCCUCAAACAUAUUUACCGUGCUUGAUUCUGGAACCUUCAAUGUUAUUGGAACGAAGAUUCAGAGUGGUAAGUGAAGUUAGUGUAUUCAAAUAUGGUAAUAUGUUGUCGUUGAAGAAAUUACCACCAAGAUUUAAGAUCUUCAGCUGUUUCAAACUCCCAAAGCUGUCGUAAGGUGCAAAUGCAUAUGAAUUAUUAUCAUUAAUUAGUCACUGACAAAAUAAUUAUGAAUGAGUAAGAGAUACAUAUGCUUGUACCUUUAUUCUUAUAGAAGCCUUUAAACCAACUUAUCAGAUAAGUCAAGGCGCUGCAGUUCUUCAAAAGGGUGAAAACAUAAUGACAUAUUCAGAAGAGAAACUUCAUAAGAAUAAAAGAGUUAUAAUCAGAGUAGUUGAUUUUUGUUUUCUGAUUGAGUGAGAGUUGCCUCACCCGUAGGGUGGUGGCGUUGCACUUAACUCCCUCCCAGUCGUUGCAACAAUCAGACGACAUUCCAUCAUCAUCAAACCAUGAAGAAAGAAUUUCGUCAUCAAAUCCAACAUCACUGGCUGAUAUGAAGAAGCUCUUGAUUUCCAACAGAGCAAUCCUCUUCGUUUCCACGCAUGCUUUGUAUCCAUGUAACUGAAUCAAAGCCAUGCCAAUCCACAAUGACAACUUCAUCAAAAGCAUUUUCAUUUUUAAUAUUAACUGCUAGAGAAACACUCACAAGAUUGACCUGUCAAUUGUUGCUCUCUUGAAUUUUUUCUGGUUCCAUAGCAAAUAUAUGACUUAUAUAUAUACAAUGGAAAUUUUGCGCAGAAUGAAAAUUUUGCACAUUUUCACGUGCCAUGUCAAUGAGAAAACAUGCAUGGAUAGAAAAAAGUAGGUGAGAGAAUAUUACCUGUUGAUACAUGUUAUCUGCUUGUGACUUUAGUACCGUCCAAAGAAAUUGAAAUGUGAAAUAAUUGAAGAUGCAAAUUGGUUGAUUUCACGGGCCUGGCCUCUGGCAAAGUGAAAUGUUGGCCACGCACUAUACCAGUAAAGUGUCAACAUUGUAGCAUAAGGAAAUUGCGGCAUCUCAGCUAGAUUUUGAGAGUCACUAUUUCGUAUAAUCAGUCCCAUUUGUUCGUGGGGACUCACAUUCUGUCCUAUUGUGGACUCACAAAUAUUUAACAUGAUUUUGAUAUUUUGAUAACUACUUAAACCGCAUUUCCUUGAUAAUUAAAGAAAAAGAGAAGUGAAUGAAGCAAAAGAUACUGAUGACCCAUAAUUAUGUAAAUAAAUACAAGACUUUACAAUAGAUUAGACCACCAAUUUGUGCUUUUUCGUCCAAAAAUAAUGCAUCUGCUUUAACAAGAUACGAGUGAAUUGGGGCAUAUCUUUCUUUCAUAAUGUAAACUUGCCAAAAUACAUGUAAUCUGCUGGUGAAAUAAUUUUAUAAAACAAAGGCUUAAAGUUAAAGCUGACUAAAAAUAUUGGUGUACGUCAAGAACGCUACGGGGAAAAUUUAACCGCGAGCUGCAGUCUGCAGUCCCCAGCAAUCCGGGAAAAGGCUGGGUGGUGCGGGCCUGCCCACUAAUUUGGCAGGUCUGAUGGGAUUUAUAAAUAAAAAUAAUGUAAUUUUAUAUAUUUUUUAAAUAAAAAAUUUGUUGAUGCCGUUGUGAGAUCCAUUGGAUCCAAGGUCUUGAAGAGGAAAGAUCACUAUGGCUGCAAGGUCUGGAAGAGGCAAGUCCAAUAAAGCCAAGGCUGACAAGAAGAAGAAAGAAGAGAAAGGUUUCAAUUGUUAAGCCUUAUUAUUCACUUCUUUCAUUGGAAAGUGCUUUUUGUAAAGUGCUUUUGCAUUCUAGCUUCCAUAUGUUCAUUGAUUUCUUUUGUUGUGCAGUAGUACCCAGUGUUCUUGAUAUCACAAUCAUCACCCCAUAUGAAUCACAAGUUGUUCUCAAGGUAUACAUAUAUACUUAUCAUUAAUACUUUCUCGUUUUGCCCUCACCAGCUAUUAUUAGGAUAUUAUUUUGUAAAACUUUAUAAAUAUAAAUGAAUUAUUGAUUAAUCAUCUUUUUCUUGUUUGAUUGAAAUUUGCUCGAAGGGCAUCUCCACUGACAAGAUACUUGAUGUGAAAAAAUUGUUGGCUUCCAAUGUAGAAACUUGCCACCUCACAAAUUAUUCUCUCUCUCACGAGGUAUAUAUAUAUAUAUUUUAUUAUCUCUCUUUUUUUUAAUUAUAUAUGAUUAUGAAUAAUGAUAUUAAACACUAGAUACUAUUUUUUUCCACCUUAUUUUUAUUUGUUUAUUUCUUUAUGAUAUUAAUGCAUUAUUAGUUGUUUUUUUUUAUCAGGUCAAGGGGUAGAAAUUGAAUGAUAGAGUAGAGGUUGUUACUCUGAAGCCCUGUUUGCUCAGAAUGGUUAAAGGUAGGUGAAGCUUUCUCGUGUCAAAAUUUCUGAAUUAAAAAGUCUCAUGCAUGUGGAUGUGGGUCUCAUCUUAUUUGUUAUUUUUAAGAGUUCUGCUAUUUACCUCGGGUUAAACCCCGAAAGCUAAAACAAAACGACGUCGUUUCCUCUUCUUCAUGAAACGCUACCGUUUCACCCUAGCAAAAGCAAACGUUCCUCUCCUCUUCAUUUUCGUCUUCCUCUCCUGACUCCUCUUCGUUUCACCAGGGAACGACAUUCGUUUUGUUCGUUUUGUUUAAGAUCCAAAUCGAAGAAAUUUCCUUUUAAACAAAUCUGCCAUUUGUUUUCUCCUUUGAAAUUUCCUCUUAAAAAAUCUGCCAUUCGCGCAGGCAUGGUCACCGUCAACGUGGCAGGCAUCACGCGCAUCUCUCAUUGAACUCAUGAAGCGUCACAGUUAUCACAGCUGCAGGUAAUGCUUUGAUCUUUAGCUUUUCUAGGUUACGGUAAAAUGGGGGCAAUUUUGAUAGCUAGCAUCAUUUCCGUUUUAUUUAAUUUUCAGUUGAAAUAGAAUGUUAAGGAAAUAAGUGUGUUAAAUUGCAAUUGGUUUGUAAUUUGUGCUAAAUUGGUCUGCAAUUUGUGCUUGAGUUGGUUUGCAAUUUGUGCUUGAAUUGGUUUGCAUUUGUGCUGAAUUGGUCUGCAAUUUGUGCUGAAUUGGUCUGCAAUUUGUGCUGAAUUGGUCUGUAAUUUGUGCAGAAUUGGUCUGUAAUUUGUGCUUGAAUUGGUCUACAAUUUGUGCUUAAAUUGGUCUGGAAUCACCAAAUAGUCCAGAAUUGUUGAUGUAACUUUUACAACUCUUAUAAAUAAUAGAAAGCAAGUUAAUUAGAAGCACCAAAAUAGUUCAGAAUCACCAAAAUAGAAGCACUAAAAUAGUCCAAAAUUGUUGAUUUUGUGGACACACACAGACACACACACAGGGAGAGAGAGACACGCACACACACAGAGAGAGAGAGAGAGACACACACACACACACACACACUGACACACACACAGACACACACAUAAAGAGACACACAAACACAGACACACACACAGAUACACACAUACACACAGCUUUGUUCAGCCCACUUUAGUAGCAAAUUCAAAUACCAAGAAACUGAGUUGGCCUUAAAAACAUUGUUCUGGUUUUCUUUUCAUUAUUAACUGUAAUUGUAUCCCUUUUUGAGCUGUUUCUUUCCAACGGUCUAUGGCUUUACAAAUAAUGUCAUCCAACACAACCGAGAAUUGAAUCUCAUUGCAAAUGUGUAAUGGAUGCGGUGAUCAGAUGGAGCUGUUAACGUCACGCACAACAAAAAAUCCAAAUUGCAAAUUUUGGAUUUGUAGAGGAUGUAACAACUUUCAAUGGGCAGAAGAUCGUAAAUCUAGCGAAGAGAAAAUAGACUUGUUAGCGGAUGAGUUUAGGAAGUUGGCCUUGGAGAUUGAGUGUUUGUCCGUUAAAUUUCAACUAUUGCAUAAAGAACUUGAGCAUAUGCGAGAUCGUGAAGUGCAGAGGCGAUUGUUGGACGACGAAUUUCGAAAGAGAGAGGCACUACGAUAUGAUUUUAUUAAAUUAAUCAUGAUUGUUGUAUUAUGUUUUCUAUUCAAGUAUUGUUUUUAAGUUGUUUCAAUUUGUACUAUGUUACUGGAAAAGACUUGUAUUGUAGAAUUUGACCACUAUAUGUAAUAGCAUUUUCAUGUUAAAUAUAAGUUUUCGAUUGUUUGAAUUAAUUCAAAGUAUUCUGAAUUUAGAAUUUGACCCCAAGAAUACUUCUCAAAAUUAUACUAUGUCCCAACUCAUUCCAAUAUGUUCCAAAUAGAUCCAUUUUCAGAAUUUACGAAGUCUAAAAUUUAAAAAAUAUCGAAAUACACAUACACCAAGUUACAUUAGCUUUACAAUAAUACAUAAAACAUAAGCUAACUUUGUUGAUUCGUCAAGCCAAUUCCAAUGAACUUCGAUCAUGUGCUUGGUUCAUUAGUUGAAAACUCCCCUCAAUUGGCCUCCUCGAAAUUUUGUUGCGGAAAAUAUUGCAAGUUUGCGUGAUGGACUCCGCUGUAAUUCAUCCAAGACUGAUAGUAAGGGAGGAAAAAUGCAUGUUCUAGGGGUGCUUGCUGUGCUAGCUGUUAUACAACAAAAAAAAAAUUAUAUACAAAUUAUCAAACAUAUGACAAUGAAUGUAAAUAGCAAAAAAAAAAAAUAUUACCAUAGCCAUAUGGCUCUCUUGUGUUGGGAAUGUAGUAGCCACUUGAGAAGAAAAAUCAUGUAUCUCCGAGUCCUAGAAAUAUGGUUAACACACAUUUAAAGUAUAUAUUAAAUUUAUUUAAAAUGAAUGUAUUAAAUAUAAAUGCAAUCAACAUACAUUUAAAGUAUACAUUAAAUUAAUUUAAAAUGAAUGUAUUAAAGUAAUUACCUCUACAGUUGUGCUUGUCGAAGCAUUAUUCGACUUCUGUUUUGGCCUCUUAAAUUGCUUUUGCUUUCUUUGACUAGGUGGACGAUCUUUACGCCGAGUUACUACUGGAUCAUGUAUAAUUUUGAUACAGCUUCCUGAUCCACUAUAAAUGGUUGUAUCGUGACCGUCACUUCGAACAUUCAGAGAUACAUCCUUCAUUGCUUUCUCGAUCCAACCCAUAAUAUUUUUAUGGCUUUCUUCAUUUUUUGAAGUUACCUCAGCAACAUCAUAAAAAUCAGUGCACUCCUCUUUAUAUCGCUGAUGUUCAAUGCUCGAACUUCGUGCAUCAUAAUUGACUUUGACUUUACUGUAGAAUCUCCGCACAUCUUUCCUCCAUCUUCGUAGAAUAUACUUUUCAGGCAGUAAUUGUAUACGGUUACGUGACAACACUGCGAUGGCGUGUCUGCAAAGAAUGCCCUUAUAUUCAAAUAUUGAACACACACAAUGAACUUCACCCUCAUCUUUUGCAAAAAUGACUUGAAAAGUAUUUUCUCUACUAUUUUCAUCGUUUUCAAUAACUUCAUAUUCUAAUCCACCACAACUGAAAACCUCACAAUAUAUCUUAUUCACCAGCUCUUGCUGAAAUUCUUGAAACUUGGAAAUAGUGUACACUUCUUCAACUUGCUUCUCCAUUGCAAAACUGGUACGACAUGGCAUCCGUUGGCUAAAACACCUAACAUCCGCUUGCCAUUCUUUCUCAAUUUUACUUUCCAUUGCUUUCUCAUAUUUCUCCACAAAUUGCUUCAAAGUUGUUUUCGAGUUAACAUACCCAUCAAAGAAAGCAUUCAUACUUUCACUACGCUGAGUGGUUGGCAUUCCAGCCCAAAAAGAAAUUUUUACGAAACAUGGAACCCAACGAUUUCUUUCCUCAUAUAAACCAUUUAACCACUGAUUACUAAGAUCAUAUUUAUCUAACAUGUCAUGCCAAGCUUUCUCGAAUUCAACAGGAGUAUAUGAAUCAUAAACAAUAGAAUGUAAUGAAACUCUAAUGGCAUGAUAUUCAACAUACCUUCCUAACUUCUCAGGCACCUUUUUCAGUAUAUGCCAUAAACACCAUCGGUGCCUAGUGUUUGGAAAAACAAUCUCAAUCGCAUUUUUCAUCUCUUUGUCUUGAUCUGUAAUGAUUCCAAGGGGAGGAGAGCCAGACAUGCAUGAUAGCCAUGUGUCAAAUAUCCACGAAAAUGUCUCCGUGUCCUCAUGCGAAAUCAACCCACAUCCUAACAAAAUUGAUUGACCAUGAUGAUUAAUUCCUACAAAAGGAGCAAAUGACAUGUCAUACUUGUUUGUAAGGUAUGUGGUAUCAAAUGUGACCAUAUCUCCAAAGUUUUUAUAGGCUGCCUUACUCCUUGGAUCGGCCCAAUAUACAUUUUUUAACCGGCCCUCCUUAUUUAGGUCAAGACUGAAGAAAAACCCAUCAUUUUCUGUUUGCAUUUUCUUAAAAUAUCUCUGAAUUGCAACAACAUCCCCUUCUCCGAGCCUUAAUCGCCUCACCUUGUCAAUAUGAUUUCUAGCAUCUUUUUCUAAGAAUGAGACAUUUUCAAAGCCACCAGCCUCAACAACAAUCGACUUAAAACUUUGAGCCAUUUUAAUUCCAGCUUCGUCAUUUAUUUCAAGCUGCUUUUUAACAAAAGGACUAAUGGUACGGUUGCAUCGAUAAUACCUACUCUUGCUCGGACUCACGGCACGGUUGUGUUCAAGGAUCAUAUUUCCAAUUACCCAUUUUCUACUAACAAAAUCCAAACGUCCUCCAAGUUUAGCAUUGCAUUCAAUUUUUUGGUUUGGUUGAAGCCGCAAAACAUUAGUGCUUUUGGCUUUUGAAUUGCCAUUUCGCCCACAAGUAAAUGUCACAUAUCUCAAACUCCCAUCAUCCCCUUUUCUACAAGAUCUCCACAUCACUGGAAACCCCUCUUAUAGGCCAUAAGCCUUAUAAUAUUCAAACAUUUCAUCAGAACUAUUAAAAGACAUCCCAACUGCUGGCUCAACAACUUUUUCCACCACCAAUUCCUCAUUAUUUUCUUCCAAAUCAGCCCCCUGCAAAUCCUGCAAUUCUUUAACUUCAUCAACCUCCUCCACUUACUUCAAAUUAUCCAUUAACUGCUGCAAAUUAAAACAAUUCAAUAUAUUAUUAUUUAUUUUUCGUGAAUUCAUUAAAUUUAGAAUAAAAAAAUUAAAAACAAAAUGAAACAACUACUGAAGAUUCAAAUUUAAACAAUUCAAGCUUGUUGUAAAAGCAUCGCAAUUGGAAACUGAAAAUGUCAAAUAACGGCAAGCCGCAAAACAUUAGCUAAUAGAAGUCCGUAGGCAUAAUUAAUACUCAAAUAACUUCAAAGUGUGGUUGAGCCAAACUAAGUUUAACUUAUAGCUAGCUCAAGCGAAAAUAUUGUAGGUCUUACAUGCGCAUGAGUGAAUUCCAACAAAAACAAGUUCAUGACUUACCACAAACUCAAACGUUAAUUCAUGUUGAUGCUAUCUCCAACUUAUCUAUUUAGGUUACGAACUAUAUUCUCAGCAGGGGUUAAAUUAUCUUCUCGAUUGAAUAUAAAGAAGAGAACAUUUGUAUACUCAAAUAUCUUCGUAAUCGAAAAUGAGAUAGAAAUUCGAAAAAAAAGUUUAAUACAAACAUGACAACAAAAAUGAGUCAAAAAUUCGUAAUCGAAACUGAAACUUCGAAAAUUUGAAGAUUCGAAAACAAAAUGCUGCCAAAAGAAAACAGUACCUUAGCUUGUGCAAAGCCACGUAUAAUCGAAACUGGAAUCUGUAAAUGCCGAAACUUAGUCUUAUGUCAGAAAAAUUUAACAGUUGCUGUUAAUGCCGAUGAGGUUAGGAAUCAUGGACAAUGUCGAGACUCUAUCUUGUUCAAGCUUCUGCUUUUGCCUUGUUUGAGCCAAAUCUUAUCACCUUCGAGGAAUAUAAGAGCUUAAAGAUUCUGCAUUUCACUCGGGUGUGGUGAAUCGAAGAGGAAGAGCUUAAAGAUUUUGUGUUUUUCUCAGUUCAUAAAGUAGCUGUUUCUUUGCGUUUUUUCUGCUUUAGUUGGUUUUGUUUUUACUAGGCUGAAACAACUACGUUUCAUGGAAGCAAAAAGGAAAAAAAAAAGAAACCAAAACUGCAUCGUUUUGGUUUUAUUCGGGGUUUGACGCGGGGAAAGUAGCAUUUUCCUAUUUUUAAUUGUUAACAUUUAGAUCUUUUUAGUUCUACAUCCAUAGCCAAACUAUUUUAAGUAAACUAUAUUCAUUUUAUUGUAUGUUUUUUAAGAAUUUUUUAAUUCGAAAUAAUUUUUUUAAUAUUGUGGAAAAAGACAGGUUAAAGUAAAAAAAUUAUUGACUAAAUAAAUAAAUAAAUGACAUUAUUUUAUUUUUUAACAUUAAAAAAAAACCAAUUUGAUGCAGUCCACUUAGUCCUGCACACUUGGAACGUUACCAUGCUUUUUAGUGCUGUACAUUUUGGACUCAACUGUCCUUGUCAUUUCAAGUAAAAGUUGAAGCCGUCUCAAAAGUAAAAUAAUAGGGUCCGCCUAAGUUACAUUUAACGUAACUUACGGCUGACCCGCAAAAUAUCAUUAAUCCCCCUAUACUCUAUGUUAUUUACAAUAUAUUUAUAAGUAUUAUAAAACUUUCUGUAUUGUAAAAUUUCGUUGAACCUCUUGUACUCUGUUUUAUUUUAAUGAAACUCUUGGAGUACGAAUUUGCCCCCUAUAAUUUUAAAUUCCCAAAAUACCCUACAGUUAAUUAAAAAUAUAAUAAUAAUUAAAUAAAUUAUAAUUAUAAUAAUUAUUUUAUUAUAAUUAUAAUAAUUAUUUUAUUAUAAUUAUAAUUUUUUAAUGGAUUAUUAUUAUUAUUAUUAACAAGAAUAAAAAGUAUUAUAACUAAUUAAUUUUUAGUUAAAAUGUUAAUAAUAACAUUAACAAUAACUAUUAUUGAUAAUUAAUUUUUGAAUAAUAAUAACAGUAACAAUAACAAUAAUUAAAAUACAAAAGAAUAAUUAUGAUAAAAAUUAAUGAAGGAUUUUAUACUAAUUUGUUACAAUUUAAUUUAUUCUGAUUUUGAUUUUAAGACAAAGUAAACAAAUAAAUGGUAAUACAGCUCAUUCUAAUUAUGAUUCCUGCCGUUCAAGUAAAUAAAUUAUUAUGAUUCCAAUUCUUUAUUUGGAUUCUAGAUAUGUCGAUUCUAACUUAUUAUGUUUUCAGUAAAUUUUGAUUUAUGUUUAGUGAAUGCACUAUAAAAUUCAUAAUACUUAUAAAAAAUUGUAAAUAAUAUAGAGUGGUCUAAUUGAAUAUAAAGUGAUUUACAAUUUUAUAGUGCAUUCACUAAAAAUGAAUCGAAAUUAGUUGGAAACAUAAUGAGUUAAAAUUGGAUUAGCUAGAAUUAAAAUGAAAAAUUGAAAUCAGAAUAAUUUAUUUACUUGAACUGCAUGAAUCCUAAUUAGAAUAAACUGUAUUACCAUUUAUGUGUUUACUUUGUCUUAGAAUAAAUAUCGAAAUGAGUUAAAUUGUAACAAAUUACUAUAAAAUUCUUAAUUAAUUUUAUUAUAAUUAUUACUUUGUAUUUUAAUUAUUGUUAUUGUUAUUAUUCGUCAAAAAUUAAUUAUUAAUAGUAAUUAUUGUUAAUUAUUAUUAUUGAUAUUUUAACUAAAAAUUAUUAUUAAUUAUUGUUAAUAGAUUAAUUAAUUAUAAUACUUUUUAUUGUUGUUGUUAAUAAUAAUAAUAAUCCAUUUAAAAAUUAUAAUUUUAUUUAUAAUUAUAAUAAAAUAAUUAUUAUAAUUAUAAUUUAUUUAAUAAGUAUUAUAUUUUUAAUUAAAUGUAGGGUAUUUUGAGAACUUAAAAUUAUAGGGGGCAAAUUCAUACUCCAAGAGUUUCAUUAAAAUAAAACAGAGUACAAGAGGUUCAACGAAAUUUUACAAUACAGAAAAUUUUAUAAUAUUUAUAAAUAAAUUGUAAAUAAUAUAGAGUAUAGAGGGAUUAAUGAUAUUUUGCGAGUGUUACGUUAAAUGUAACUGAUCCAAAAUAAUAAUGUGCUUUUAAGUAACUGGCCUAAACUUUAGAAAUUUCAGAAGUUACAGUAUACGCAGGUCACAUCUAGGACCAUUAUUAGUUUAAUCAUUAAAUGACAAAAUUCUUGAGGGGGUACUUAAAAAUGCAAGCAUCUCGUCCCUUGCCUGCUUCAUAGAUGCUGUUACUCAUUCCCCCUCAUCUCACUUGUGCAAACCAAAGAGAAAAGAAAGAUUAUUAUUUUCCACUUAUUACACAAAAAACAAUAAUUCCUUUUUAUUGCUCCAUGUUUAUUAUUUUAUUCUAUUUCUCCACUCCAGAAUCUCUCUUUCUCAAUUAAAUUUAUGAUAUAGAUAUUAAAGAUUUGCUUAAAUCAGAAAACUUGUUCAUAUUUCUGGUCAAUAUAAUACAUCUCCUGAAAGGUAAAAAUAGGGAAAAAAAAAACAAGAAUGAUGAAUUUUUUUUUGGUUUUGACUGUUUAAGGCAAUAAAGAAAUAUUUUGAAAGGGUCGGAGAUUACAAUGAAUCUAUACACUUGUGGAAAAUAAGUGCAACUUGAGAGCAUUUUGUUUUUGUUCCACUAUAUAUUUUUAUACAACUGCUGCCUUAGAUUGGGUGCAUCACUUCAUUAUAUAAUCAGUAAAAAUUAAUAAUAUAAAUGGAAUCAUUCUCUAUUACAAUUAUUCGACUUCAUGAAGUAACAACUGAUGUUUUUUACCACAUUGUCAAAAGAGUUCAACUUUUAUUUGAGAAUACACCAUAUAAAAGAAGAAAAGAAUAAAACAAGAGUACACCAUAGAAAAGAAAAAAAUAAAACAAAUUUUAGAAUUAGUAGAUUAGAAUUGUUAUAAGAAAGAGUUGUCCCUAUAACUUCAAUAAGUUAGCAAUGUUUCUGAAGUUUGUUUUACUAGCCUUACCAAACUUUUUCUAGUUGAUAUUAAAAUUAAAAAAAAAAAAAUUUUUCUAGUCAAACAUACUUAAUUGAACAGUUAAUUCAACAUGAAAACGAUUUGUCGCUUUAUGAUCCUAAUUUUCAACCAGCCGUAAAUUUUAAUCUAUUAAAAAAAUAUUAGUUGGUAGAAAUGUAAACAGAAGCAAGAAGGUUAUAAUUAGUAAUUUUAUCAUGAAUAAUUAAUAUGAUUAGAGUUUAAUAAAAUUAUAUGUAAAAACUUAUUUAAAGAGCAAAAAUUUUAUUUUUUAUCAUUUUUUAGUACUUAUAAUUAUAAUUUAAUCCAGAUGUAUUUUAAUUAUAAAAAUUAUUUUGAAAAAUAAGUUUGAGGAAUAGUUUAGUGCUUAAAAAUUAUUUUCUACUUAUAAUUAAGUUAAUAUUUAAUAGAAAGAACUAAAAUAAUAAAAGAAAAAAAACUUUGCCCGGCAAUUCCUUGUUAUUUACAUUUUUGGCACUGUCCCUUGCAGAGGACUACACCGAGGAAUCUCAGGCCGUGGCACACGUGCGGCGGCUUCUCGACAUCGUCGCGUGCACCACACGGUUCUCCAAGUCCAGAAACUCCCGAUUGCCGCCAUCGUCAGAGUCAUGUGCCAAAAAGAACGGCAGUAGGCCCCACCAGCCUUCACCAAACUCUGCCGCUCUGUCUGAUGGAGCAGCAACGGCAGCAGCAGAUAACCGAAGCGGGCCCCGCGCCACGUCAUCGCCAGUUUCAUCGGCGGUUUCGCCGAGUCUGGACAUGGCGGCCAUUCACCCGACGCCGAAACUCUCCGAGUUUUAUGACUUCUUCUCUUUCUCUCACCUCACUCCCCCCAUCUUAAGUAAGCCUAAUGUUCAUUUAUUUAUUUGUCUUCGUUUCUUACAUGGUUGAUCAAAAAAAAAAAAAAAGAAAAGAAAGAGGAAAAUGAUAUAAAUAUAUGUGAUUUAUUUGAAUAUGAAAUUUGUUUAUUGAUUUUGAUUUUUAAUAAUUUUGAUUUUGAAGAUUUGAGAAAAUGUGAACGCAAAGAAGGAGAGAAGCGCGACGGUGAUUAUUUUGAAAUUCAGGUGCCAUUUAAUAUAAAGUUCUGAUUGUUGUUGUUUGUUGUUUAUGGACUAAUUAAUUGUAGAGUUAUUCAACUCAUUAUUUUUGCUGAUGAAUUGGCCAAUGAGUGUUAAAGAUUUAAUAAUCAUUGUCUGCUAAUUAAUAAGAAUGCAUGGAUUAUUUUCAUGUCUUUGUAAGUAAUGUGAGUAUUUGAAAGCGCGGGAAACUGUAUUUUGUGCUUACAGAUAAAAAUCUGCAAUGGAAAGCUUAUACAAGUAGUUGCAUCAGUAAAGGGGUACUAUACUUUGGGAAAGCAGUUUUUCCAAAGCAACUCCCUGGUGGAUCUUCUGCAAAAUCUCCGUCGAGCUUUUGCCAAUGUGGGUACUCAAUAGUUGAAUCUACAGAUUAUUUUUUCCUUUUUUAUCUGAAUGCAUCUUUUUUUCCUCUGUAAAUUCAAUUAGCUUACCCAUCAAUUGUUUUGUUAAUAAUUAUGGUCAUUAUUCGUGAUGCAGGCAUAUGAAUCCCUAAUGAAAGCUUUUGUUGAACAUAAUAAGGUAACAAUUUCUGUGCUGACAUAGUUUAUUACCAAUUCAAAUGUGAUUUUAACUUGAUUUUACUGAUAUAGUAUAUUCAUUAUCCUUCUUCAGUUUGGUAAUCUUCCCUAUGGAUUUCGAGCUAAUACAUGGCUUGUACCUCCUUCUGUUGCUGAGUCUCCAUCAAAUUUCCCAUGCCUACCGGCAGAAGAUGAGAAUUGGGGUGGCAAUGGCGGAGGCCAGGGAAGAGAUGGAGAACAUGAUUUACGACCAUGGGCGACGGAAUUUGCUAUACUGGCUAGGCUUCCUUGCAAAACUAAAGAGGAGAGGGUGGUUAGAGAUCGGAAGGCCUUUUUGCUUCAUAGCCAGUUUGUUGAUGUCUCAAUUUUUAAAGCUGUUGGAGCAAUACGCUGUCUCAUUGAUUCAAAUUUACACACUCAAGAUACAAUCAAUGUCCAAAAGGGGGCAAUCUUGCAUGAAGAUCGUGUGGGAGACUUGUCCAUUACGGUAAAACGUGAUACAGUAGAUGCAAGCUUGAAGUCUGAGGUUACUAUUAAAGGAAAUCAGUUAUCUGGUAUGUCUACUGCAUAAGUUGCUCAAAGGAAUUUACUAAAAGGUGUUACUGCAGAUGAGAGUGUAGUUGUUCACGUAAGUCGAUUUCUCCUUUACUUCUUAUGCUUACGUUCACAGACCACACACAUAAGAGACAUUCAUCAAAGCUGAAAUUACUUACGUGGGCGGAAUAAUAUAGCUCUACCUUUGUCAGGGAGUGAUUUUUCUGUCGGAUUAAGAUGUUACACUCUUUAUCUGAUAUCUAGCAUUUGAUGAUGGCCUAAAAUACCCAUCCUCUUCAUUCUCUCUUUCUACACAUUUAUGAAUGCACAAGAAAGUCAAUUUUAGGUUCUUUCCUAAGAAUCACUACUCGUUACUAACCUUAUAUAUCUGGUUUAGCUUCAUGAAUCUUAUGUUGUCAUUCUGUUUGGUGACUCCCUAUUCUGUUGAAAUCACUUGAUAGUAGGUCUUUCUACCCAUUUUAUCCAUAUCCCUCUGAUUUUCUACUUGUAGUUUGCUCCAACUUAAUGUCAUCAACCCUUUUUGGGGAAGCCUAUUAACCUUGGUUGGGCAUGCUUGUAUUAUAUCAACUAGUGAUACAAUUGCUAAAGUUUUCAGCAUGGUAGAUCUUGAAAUAAAAUUUUCUUGAAAUAUCUAGAUUUAUCUUCCUUUUCUUUUUCCUUUUCUUUUAUUUUAGUUUCAAAGAUUUUGUUAUAAAGAGAACUGAAACAAUAUAGUUUUUGGCAGGAUACCUCCUCAUUGGGUACCGUCAUUGUAAGACACUGUGGAUACACCGCCGUAGUAAAGGUUGUUGGUGAUGUGACGGAGAAGUUUGGCACACAAGAUAUUGAAAUUGAAGAUCAACCUGAUGGAGGAGCUAAUUCUCUUAAUAUUAACAGGUCUGAAAUUGUAAAACAAUGCUUCCUCUGUCGAUUCCUCUUAGCACACAAAGACUAGGAAAUCUACAGAUGGAGAAUGGCUGUAAGAUAUGAAAAAUUAUCUUUCAACCACUAACCGUUUUAAGCUAUUCUGCAAGAUAUCUUAGAAAUGCUAACUGGUAUGAGCUUCUUUGCUUAGUGUCUAUCACAGUUGAAUUCAUGAUGCAGAGCAUUGUUAUUCUCCUUAUUUUUACCAGAUAGAACAGGAUUGAAAUGCUGGUGUUGGGGAUUCUUAAGAAAGGAUAGCACCUGCUCCUUUUUCUUCCUGUUUAGAUGGGAUCUAAUCAGUAGGUGUCUGAACUCUUAAGGGGAGUUGAUGUCAGAUUUCUAAACCAGGUUUUCUUCAAGUGUUAAGUUUAUGAAUAGGCCAAAGAAAAGAAAGCUGAUAUCUAGUUAGGGAUAUGUACUCCUCUUUCAGCAUCCUAUGGACCAGAAAAUGGCUUUUCCUCCAUUAAAAUAUGUGUGAGAUUCUUCACUGUAUGGGGAUGCUUCACCUCUGCAUAGUUGUAGACCACCUAAAAAAUAACGAGUGGUUGCAGGAAACAUUAAGUCAUGGCUUUCACAAUAAUGGUUGAGUGUUUAUAGUUAUGUGCCUUGACAUUGGUUUGUAAUUGUUAUAUUAACAAAAUAACCAGCAGACAUCAUUGAUGAUGUUCAAAUAAUGGAUAAAGGAAAGUAUAAUUACAGUGGAUGCUCAGUUGCUGAAAUAGGUCAUCAGCUUUUUGGAUUGUGCUAUUUCAGAAAGUAUUUAGACCUUCUUUGGUGGAUUCUGCCUUUGUUUCAUAUACUCUUAUAUCUUUCUCCAUUUAAGUUGUUCUGACAGGGUAAACUAUUUAUUGCAGCUUAAGGCUUGUACUUCAGAAGUCUUUCAGUGCUGAAUCAGCUAGAGGAGACCAGUCACCUCUGUGCAAUUUGGAUAAUUCAGAAGCUCUUAGAAGUCUUGUACGAAGUGUUAUUAAACAGAGUUUAGCAAAGCUAGAGCUGGAGCCAACUGCGUCAGAAAGAUCUAUUAGAUGGGAACUUGGUUCUUGUUGGGUGCAACAUCUACAAAAGCAGGAAACCCCAACAGAUACCAAGUCAACGAGGUCUAGGGAUGAUAUUGAGACUGAACAUGCUGUCAAAGGUCUUGGGAAGCAAUUUAAAUUUUUGAAGAAGAGGGAGAACAGACCUAACCUUGUUGGUAGCAAUAAUGAGGCUAACGAAGAUGACAAUGGACCGUGCAGCAUGAAUGUGGGAACUAAUGGCAGACAGCAAAGCAAUGGCGAGCUCAAUUGUGAGAUGGAAUUGAAAAAACUAAUUUCUGAAGAAUCCUUCUUGCGAUUGAAAGAAACUGGCACUGGCCUUCAUUCAAAGGUUUCAAAAUCUCAAAUUUUUUUUGCAUUUCAACUGUAAAGUUUGCUACUUUUUGUGUUUUCAUUAUGCUAAAUUUGGUUUGUUUUAUUUUCAUAUGGAAUGACUGGUAAAAUUAAUUUCUUGUGCAGGCAGUGGAUGAGCUUAUGAAAAUGGCAUACAAAUAUUAUGACGACAUUGCUUUACCAAAGCUGGUACUAUUUAAUUUAUUUAGGGCCUUUGUUGCAGCCAAUUUAGACGUGUGGGGAUGGUUUAUGGACUAAUUUGCAUUCUUUAUUAGGUAACAGACUUUGGAUCACUUGAACUUUCUCCGGUUGAUGGCCUCACACUGACAGACUUUAUGCAUUUAAGGGGACUACAAAUGCGCUCUUUAGGUCGCGUGGUGAGGAAUUUCUCCCUCUCUUUCUCUCUCAGACAUGCAACAUAUUCACCCGUGGAAAUCGGAAUAAACAAAUGUUGUCUUUCUUUAUGUAAACAAAGCCCCUAAGUUAUCUUUCUAUAUGCAAACAAUCUCCCCAAGUCUUCCUGGAUUGAAUUAUCAAUGUUCCUUUUUGAAAAUUGUACUACAUGAUAGAAUUUUUGACAUGGUGACCUUUUCCAAGAUAUUGAAUUAUUGUCGUCUUUAGAUAUUACUGUAUGUUGUAUGACAUACAAUAUUUUGAGAAAUUGACAUGCUAAUACUUGAAAGCCUGGUAUUCUUCUUCUGUUGGUUCUAAUCCCAUUUACAAAUUCAGGUUGAACUUGCAGAGAAGCUUCCUCACAUACAAUCACUUUGUAUUCAUGAGAUGGUUACUCGAGCGUUCAAGCAUGUACUUAAAGGAGUCAUCGCAUCUGUUGACUAUUUAUCAGACCUAUCUGCAGCUAUAGCUUCUUCCCUAAAUUUCUUAUUUGGCUGUUGUGAGAUGGAAGAUGACCAAAGCUUGAAUGACGAUCAUAUCCUCAGAUUGCAGUGGCUACGAACAUUUCUUGGCAGAAGAUUUGGUUGGUCCCUGAAAGACGAGUUUCAGCAUUUGAGAAAGAUUUCAAUUCUACGUGGGCUUUGCCAUAAGGUAAGGUACUGUCUUUUCGGUUCCUUUGGCAGUGGAUUAUUUUCAAAGCUUGAAUUUUGCUUGUAAACUUUACCCAGGUUGGGUUGGAGUUGGUUCCAAGAGAUUAUGAUAUGGAAUGCCCAAACCCAUUCACGAGAGAUGAUAUUGUCAGCAUGGUUCCUGUGUGCAAGGUGAGACUAUGGGGAUCUUUCAGUUUUCUAUUAUUGCCUUCAACACAUUCAAUUGACUCUUAAGUAAGUAGCACUGCUUGAUUUACCAGAGCAACUUUGUGAUUUUCAUUCUUUAACUGAUUAAGGUUUAUUUAUUCAUAAAUUAAAUUGGAAGUUUGAAAAAAUGUGACCUUUGUAUUGAAUCUGCUUCGAACGAAUGCAGUUUUUAUGUACCUACUUUAGCUUUUGUUUGUCUUUUAUUGGCUCUAGCUCCUGAUCAUACCAUACCAUUGGCAGAUAUGUAAAUCGUGCCUUAUUCCUUUUGCAUUUUACUUGUGGACUUUCACAUCCAAACACGGCUGCAACAUACAUAAAUGUGGCUAUGAUGGAAGCGGGCAUGGGAAAUGUUCAUCUUUCUCUUAGAUAUUUGCAUGAAGCCCUUAAAUGCAACCAAAGACUAUUAGGAGGUGACCAUAUACAGGUUUCUCUCUCUCUAUUUACGCAUGUAUACACACUCUUUAGAAUUAUAAAUCUUUCUGUAAACUCAGAAUUUUGUUUGAUUUCUUCACGUGACAGACAGCUGCAAGUUAUCAUGCCAUAGCCAUAGCUCUUUCUUUGAUGGAGGCAUAUUCACUAAGUGUGCAACAUGAGCAAACUACACUUAAGAUUCUCCAAGCAAAGCUUGGACUAGAAGAUCUGCGUACUCAGGUAACUACAUGUAGUCAUAUUUUAAUUGGUUCUGUUGUGCAAUUUGGCUAGUUGGCUUUUCUCUUGUCAAUCUUUUACAGGUGAUAUUAUGAUAUAAAACAAAUUGUAUUGGAGGCAUAUUUUUGGUGUCAAAUAUGGAUAUGACUCAUUCAUUAAUCGUAUCGAAAUAUCAAAAUACGGAUAUGACCCGUUUAUUAAUCGUGUUGACUUGUUUAAUAUUAAAUACAAACAAAUUAAAAAUUAAUUUUAAAAUAACAAAUGUGUCAAAAAAUUGAAUUAUAAAUAAGUUAAAAUGACAUAAGUAUGACAUGAAUAAGUUUAUAACAUAAUGUGAGUAUGACAUGAGUCAUUAAUUUAGUGUUUAGUAUAUAUUUUAGUUUUUUUUUCCAAUAAUAUUAACACAUAAUAAUUGAUAUUUGUGCUAUAAACGUAUAAUCAUAUUGAGAUGGUCCAAAACAGAUACGACAUGGUUAUUUAUCGUGUUGUGUCAACUUAUUUAUUAUUCGUGUCAAUCGUGUUGUAAUCCAUUUUCCCACCUCUAAUCUUAACUGUCGUAAGAGAAUUUCUCAAGUUCCAUAUUAUUGAUGGGAAGAGAUUUUUGUUAUUUUGUUGUAUUUUUUUUCGUUUUACAGGAUGCUGCAUGGCUGGAGUAUUUUGAAUCAAAAGCUCUAGAGCAGCAAGAAGCGGCACGGAAUGGAACUCCAAAGCCAGAUGCGUCCAUUGCGAGUAAAGGUCACCUUAGGUAUUAACAGGGUAUUCCCACAUUACUUGUUUCUAAAUUGUUGAUUAUUUCUUGUGGCACCAAGACCUAUAAUGAUCGCUUUUUGCAGUGUAUCAGAUCUCCUGGAUUACAUUAGUCCUGGUCAAGAUUCUAAAAGAAGCGAAGCACAUAGGAAACAACGACGUGCAAAGGUAGUAUAUACUUAGUGCCUGUUUAGUAUGACUUAUCUAAUAAUCAUAAAUUUUUAUUUAAUCCCAUAAGCUGUUAUCAAUUUUUUUUUUUUUUGUUUAACUGUUUUUUUCGUAGAGCUCUUGAAAAUUAAAUAAGUUAUUUUGCCUCUACUACCAAAAGCUCAAAUUUUGUGCUUUUGAGAGUAGAGGUUAAAAAGUUUUUUUUAAAUGUUAAAAUAUCUAAAAUAUUUUCUACUUAUUUGACAAUCUUAUUUUAUUCUUUUCAAAACAUAACUUUAAAAAAUUUGCUUAUUAAAGUAAUUUUAUAAUUUUUAAUAAAAGCUCUUAUUGACAACCAAACAACACAAAUUUUUUGGGUAAAAACUUUACUUAUAAAAUCUUUACUAACAAAAGCUCUACUCAGAUAAGAUCUAUUUGAAAAGCUAUGUCAAAUGAAGCAUUAAGCCUGCUACUGUUCUCUGUUCCUUUUUUCUUGUGAUGUCAUCUGAAUGGAUUCUUAAACUAAUUGUAGUUAGGAUUUGGUAUUUUAGAGUACACUCUGCUGGCUGAUUACACGAGUAAACUUGUUGUCCAUGCAAAAUGCAACUAUAUAUCAGCAGGAUAAUAGUUCUACUUUUCUGAGUGAACUCUGAAGGCACCAAUUAUAACAUCCAUUUCUAGCAUAGAAUCCCCCGCCCAACAAAAAGAAAUCUAACAUGCUUUUACAGAUCGUAGACAUGACUGAAACUUUAGAAGUUUCUGAUCUAUUGAUGGCCAUAGAUUGGGCCAGCUGAUAGUUAGUAGGCAAUGAUGGAGGGUUGCUUGGUCAAGCUGCUAGUUCUUUGGAAAUUCAGAGAUGAUGAGCAGAACGAGUGAUAGUUUUUGUUUUCCCCCGUAAUCUUGAACAGAGUGGGAAGAAAUAGGGGUGGCAAAACGAAUAAACGAAUCGAAUUCGAAUUGAAUCGUAAACGAAUUGGGUCAAAAUUCUAUGGAUUCGGAUUCGAUUCGUUUAUUAAACGAAUUGAAAUUUCAGGAUUCGGAUUCGAUUCGUUUAUUAAACGAAUAUUCGGUUCGAUUCGUUUAAUUCGUUUAAUAGAAUUGAUAAACGAAUCGAAUCGAAUCGAAUCCAGAUUCGUUUAUUAUUCGUUUAUCCUUUACGAAUCCAUAACGAAUCGAAUCAAAUUAGGAUUCGUUUACAAUUUGUUUAGAAAAUAUAAUUAAUAAACAAAAUUAAGUAAAAAAAACAAAUUUAAUAUCCCACAACAAAAUACAAAUAAUUCAAAUUAUAUUAUACAGUCAUCCAAAUACCAAAUACCAAAUCCUUAAUAUUACAAAUAACAAUAAUUCAAAUUCAAAUUAUAAAGAAAUGUAAUUUCUUUAAUUCUCUUCAUUUGUCUUUGUCACCUUGAAAACAAAAAUCCUACACCAAAAAGUAAAUAAAGUGUUAUUAACAUGCUGCAAUAUUGAUAAUAGUCAUUGUAAAAUUUCAAAAAUCAAAUAUAUAGCAAAUUUGUAGCAUUUUCAAGGAAAUAAUAAUUGAACAAGAUAAAAACUUUACCUAACAAUAUUUCAAAAAUCAAAUCUAUUCAUCAUGUAUGCCAAAUUCUAACCCAGCAAUAUUCCUAAUGCACAAUAUUCCAAUACACAAAAUAUUAACAAUACAACAUAAUAAAUUAUAAAUUCUAAUACUAAAAAAAAAUUAAUCCAAUAUUUGUGGGGGCUUAUUCCUUAUCCUACAGAUAAUUUUUAACACCAUAAUCGAUUUAUACAUAAUUUCAUAAUAUUUUCCGAACAAUACAAAACAUUUUCUAAACCAUAAUUUCAUAAUAUUCUACAAUACAAAAUUUCUCAAUAAUUCAACCAUAAUCUCAUGAUAUUACCCUGAGUUGGUGAUGGCUUGUUGAUUCGGGUCGCUUGGGAAUUAAAUAAGCACUUAAACCUACCUUGCAUCUUCCUGAUUGCUGUUACGAGUCAAAGAAAAAUGAGAACAGAACUGAAACUUGGCAUAAUUAAUGCUCAAAUAAAUUACAACAUGCCCUGUCAAAUGUGGAUAAAACACAUAAACUGUGAGCAAAAGGUUUUUUUUUUUUUUUUUUUUGGCAUUGUCUUGCAGAAAGCAGCCGGCCUGGGCAAAUCAUCCAUCUGACUCCGAGAGGUCUACAUCAAUAUAUAUUAUGUCAAAGGAGGUGUUAUACACUUAUAAAAUCUAAAUAAGAACAUACUGUAUAUAAUUAAUAGCAUUAAAACCUUGAUUAUGGAUUGAUUUCCUAGAGAACAACUUAAUUACUGCUUCGUACUGCGCAAAAGAAAAAUAUAUUCAUUUAUAUCUCUUGGUCCAAGAUGCAGCUGGUUAAUUAGCACUUUACGCAGAGCCACAGAAGCUGCUUCAAAAAUGGAUAGCUCGUUGCAGCUUCUCUGUUGGGUUCAUCGUCUAUGUUACUUAAAAUCAAAGUUACUACAAAAAGAUUAAAAGCGAUCUUCCUAAACGAGGAACUCACUCGGAACCUCUGGUUUAUCUUUUCCGUCACUGUUUCUACAAUACAAAAUUUCUCAAUAAUUCAACCAUAAUCUCAUGAUAUUACCCUGAGUUGGUGAUGGCUUGUUGAUUCGGGUCGCGCUCGCCUGGGUUUGCUGCUGCUGCACCGCCGCACGAGUUAGCUACUGCUGUGGGUUCGAGUGGCUGCGUCCCUCAAGUUCAAUCGAUGAUAGAUGAACGAUGGUGGUUGUAAUCGUCGGUUCGCUGUGAGUUAAUGACAGUGGCUACCGGCGGCUGUUUUUGUUGCUUGAUUGCUUCACUUGGUAUGGGUGGGUGAGUGUGAUUCGUGUGAGAGAGGUAGACAGCAACGAGACUACGAGAGCGGCUGAGUGAGGGGAGAAUUUUUAGGGAUUUAGCUUUAGGUUUCCGCUACUUUGUUUUUUUUUUUUUGUUAUUUACUUAAAUUUACAAUAUUAACCUUCAAAUUUUAAAAAGUUUUCAAAUAAAUUUAAGAAUAAAAAAGUAAUUUAAUUAAAUGAAUAAUAAAUGAAUUUUAACGAAUCGACCCGUAUUCGAUUCGUUUAUGACCCAUUUAUUAAACGAAUUCUAAACGAAUAAACGAAUCUAAAUUUUCAAACCCGCAUUCAAUUCGUUUAAUUAACGAAUCGAAUCGAAUUCACCCAUUUAUUAAACGAAUCAAUUUUUUCAAACCCAAACCCAUUUAAUUCGCAUCGAAUCGAAUCGAAUAAACGAAUCCUGACCCAUAUUGCCACCCUUAGGAAGAAACCAUUAAUUUGAAGUGCAAUGGACGGAUAUGACAGAUCUAUCAUUUUGGCUAGUAGAUGGAGUUCUUCCAUUCUACUGUUAUUUACUGGUUGUUUUUAUUGAUUCUAGAAAACAUUUUUCGAUUUGGCAGUUGGAGUUUUUCCCUUUUUUUUUUCUCCCCAUUUUGUAGGCCUUAGAGAACCAAAUAAUACUACAUAUUAGAUAGACAGGAUUAUUAUGUGCUAAUUUGAAGUAUUACCUGGUUGACAAUUUAAGACACUAGUAAAGUAUUUCGCUAUGAUUAUUUUUUUUUGAGAAUUCCAUGAUUCAAAAGGCCGAAGAAUUUCAUUAGUUUAACAUAGUAUAUAUUAACAUAAUUCCUCACUGAGUGUUUUUUUCAACAUUUCAGGCAUGUACAUAUCAAAUUCCCAUUUAUGUUCCACUGGAUUCUGCCUCAUGUUAUGUCCGGAUUUGUUGUAAUAAAUUUUGCUACUGUAAAAUUACAAGAUGAUUGUAACUUAAAAUGAACUAUUUCUAUUUGCUCAAUUUUUGACAUUUUAUAUGCAUACAAGUUAAAAAGGUUUUGUUUAUUUUUAUUUUUUUAUUUUUUUAUUUUUUCAGGUAAUGCAGAUUAGGGAAAAGAUUCAUGGAGCACAUCAUGAUAUGAUGGUGGAAGAUGCACUGCCCCAUGAUUGAUUGAAAAAGAGUAUGACUAUAGUGGAAAGCAAGACCGAGGAAGUAAUAGAAGACAGUGUUCAACCUGAAGAGCCAGAAGAGAAUGAUGAUAUUACUAGAUAUGGACCGGCAAUUUCAGGUGAGUUUGUGGAAGAAACAAAUUCAGAUGAGGGGUGGCAAGAAGCCAAUCCAAAAGGUAGGUCAGGAAAUGCUGCUGUUCGGAAGCUCAGCCGGAGGCAACCUGUUCUUACAAAGCUAAAUGUCAAUGGUUGUGAACAUUCAAAUCUUAGAGAAAAAGGCAAUAGACGGGAAAUUGUAUCUCCAGCACGGGAAAAAGCUUCAAGGACCACCACCACUGAGUUAACAGGCAUGAAGGAUUCAAUUAAAUUGCAGGCAAAAGCUUCUGUCUCCAAAGUUUAUGCAAGUCCACCAAACCUUACUGCCAUGGAUUCCAAGUCGCUGUCUUACAAAGAAGUAGCUGUGGCACCACCAGGUACGGUUCUAAAGCCAUUACCAGAGAAACCUGAUGAAAAAAUUGAAGAAAAAACUGAAACACAGAUGUGCAGUAAUGCUCCUGAGACAUCAAAGGCGGAGUUGAAUAACCAUUUCUCUCCCGUUGAAGAUGCGCCAGUUGAUGGUCAGUCUCAAGAAACUCAUGGAAGUGUAAUUCAAUCUGAAACUACUGCUGCAGAUACCGAGGAAGUUCCUUCUUCUUCUAAUGAGGAAAAGCCCAUGGAAACAAAUGGGAGUAAGCUUUCUGCCACAGCUGAACCAUUCAACCCAGGAGCUGUCUCCAUGACUCAUCUGCUAAACUCUGUAGCAGCCACGAGUAUUUAUGAUGCGAGAACUGGUCAAGGUAUGCUUGCAGAACCUGCUGUACCUUCGGCUGCUGCUAGAGUUCCUUGUGGGCCAAGGUUGCCUCUCUAUUAUAGAAAUAAUUAUUCUUACAUUAUGAAACAUGGAUUUCCAAAAUACCACUCUUCCAUUAUGGAAAGAAACCUGUUGGGGCCUUCAAGAAUCAUGAACCCGCAUGCACCCGAGUUUGUGCCAAUGAGAGGUUGGCAAAUAAAUCCUGGAUAUGCAGAUUCAAAUGUUUCAAAUGAGUCGAACUCUUCAAAUGACACAAGUGAGGCAGACAAUGAGAAACUUGACAAAAUGUCCAGUAUUCAAGGCGAGGAUAAUACCUCAAGAAAGAGCAGUACAGAGGCGGAGAAGUCAUAGCUGGCAAGACAGAUACUACUUAGCUUCAUUGUAAAGUCAGUCCAGCAUAAUAUGGAUGCUCCAAGUCAAUCUUCAGGCUGCGAAAAGAAGAUUGGGUAUUCAGAAAAUUCUUCACAUGCAAUUGCAAAUGAUAGUGCUAUCAUAAAGAUCCUUUAUGGAAAUGAAAAGGGCAAAACAAACUUGGUAUCUCAGUCCAAUGAUCAAGAACAGCAAAAACCCAAAGAUGAAAACCAAAAAAGUGGGGAUGGUGAAGGAUUUAUAGUUGUCAGAAAACGGAGAAGAAACCGACAGCAGAUCACAAAUGGGGUAACUGAGAUGUACAAUCAUCAAUCCAUCUGUGCUUCUGUUCGUUAAAAGAGAGAGCAAAGGAAUAAAAUGCAAAGGUGCCAUCCUGUUUCUCCCAAUUUUAUUCGAAAAAUUUGUUAGUGAAUGUUGCUGUUGUAGAGAUGGUUAAAGUUUGGAGCAAGUUUUAAUCAAUACUUGAUUGUAUCAUUUUAGAUAUCCUCUCUGGAUGUUCUAAUAAAAUAUUUGUACAAAUCGGUUUCUUGUUUUGUUAAAAGAUUUUGUUUUGAUCAAUAAAUGAUGAUAAAUUAAUUGGGCGAUUUUCCUCAUCAAGAGAUCUGUGAUGUUGUUCUAUAAUGGAUUUUAAUGUUUUAGACUGAGAUUUGUAGUUAUGCCUC